rnacentral:rRNA from 1 species
GUAGGGUGCAAGCGUUAAUCGGAAUUACUGGGCGUAAAGCGUACGCAGGCGGCUUUGCAAGACAGGUGUGAAAUCCCCGGGCCUAACCUGGGAACUGCAUUUGUGACUGCAUGGCUAGAGUCUGUCAGAGGGGGGUGGAAUUCCACGUGUAGCAGUGAAAUGCGUAGAGAUGUGGAAGAACACCGAUGGCGAAGGCAGCCCCCUGGGAUGAGACUGACGCUCAUGUACGAAAGCGUGGGGAGCAAACAGGAUUAGAUACCCUGGUAGUCCACGCCCUAAACGAUGUCUACUAGUUGUCGGAGGGUAACUCCUUCGGUAACGCAGCUAACGCGUGAAGUAGACCGCCUGGGGAGUACGGUCGCAAGAUUA